AGUGAACGCUGGCGGUAGGCCUAACACAUGCGAGUCGAACGGCAGCACAGUAAGAGCUUGCUCUUACGGGUGGCGAGUGGCGGACGGGUGAGGAAUACAUCGGAAUCUACUUUUUCGUGGGGGAUAACGUAGGGAAACUUACGCUAAUACCGCAUACGACCUACGGGUGAAAGCAGGGGAUCUUCGGACCUUGCGCGAUUGAAUGAGCCGAUGUCGGAUUAGCUAGUUGGCGGGGUAAAGGCCCACCAAGGCGACGAUCCGUAGCUGGUCUGAGAGGAUGAUCAGCCACACUGGAACUGAGACGCGGUCCAGACUCCUACGGGAGGCAGCAGUGGGGAAUAUUGGACAAUGGGCGCAAGCCUGAUCCAGCCAUACCGCGUGGGUGAAGAAGGCCUUCGGGUUGUAAAGCCCUUUUGUUGGGAAAGAAAAGCAGCAGGUUAAUACCCCGCUGUUCUGACGGUACCCAAAGAAUAAGCACCGGCUAACUUCGU
rnacentral:rRNA from 1 species